AAAAAUCAAUGUUUUAAUGUGUAGUUACAAGUUAUGGUCAACAGAGGGCAGCGGUGUGAGGUUUCUAAUAACAAACUUGAGGCCCGAGGUUGGACUCGAACUUUCCACCUCUUGUUUUGACAGCUUUGGUCGGUUGCCAAACAUUUAUACCACUAGCUAACGCGUAAAUGCUUUGUUGAAAUGAUGUUAUUAAAGUACAACCAAAAACUAAAUAGUCCUAUAAAACAUAUUUGAUAGGCUACGUUUUAAAAUUCAAAACCUUUAUUUUGAAAAAAAAAAACCCUCAACGGAGCCUGGUGAGAAUCGUCUAAAGAGUUGCUAAGAUACAGAAUAAAGAUAUGCAUGGCACUCAGUUUUGAUAAUUUUAUGCUCUUCUGUCAGCCUUUCACUCUGAUUUACAGCAGUUGGAAAGCAGUCAAGGUUUUAAGAACAGCUGUGACAAAGAAGCCAUUCUACUUACCUUGUACCCGGCUGCUUUAUUGCCCCAUGGGAUACGAGAUUGGUGGCUAUGUGCUGGAGCUCAUCAAUCUGUUGGACUGCCUCUCGCCGCGUGAAGUGUAAUACGAGGACCCAGUAACCUGAUGAGAUGUCUUGCAACCUUUACGCCAAUAAAGAAAGGGCCAGUAAGCUUACAUAUAUCUAUUAAAAUCCUUGAACUGAAACAUGAAUGUGGUGCAGUUCGUCUAACCCAUAGAGAAGAGCGUGAUCCAAGUGCUCACACAACCUCUGAAGAACACGGUCGUGGUUUCUGAUGGCCGGCGUCUCAUCUUCACAGGCGGCAAAGUAACUCUGCAACUACACGU